rnacentral:rRNA from 1 species
GACGUAGGGGCCGAGCGUUGUCCGGAGUUACUGGGCGUAAAGCGCGCGCAGGCGGCGCCUCGCGCCCGACGUGAAAGCCCCCGGCCCAACCGGGGAGGGUCGUCGGGGACGGGGGCGCUUGAGGGGCGCAGGGGCUGGUGGAAUUCCCGGUGUAGUGGUGAAAUGCGUAGAGAUCGGGAGGAACACCCGUGGCGAAGGCGGCCAGCUGGGCGCCACCUGACGCUGAGGCGCGAAGGCGUGGGGAGCGAACGGG